GUGCUCGCUUCAGCAAUACAGAUACUAAAAUUGGAAUGAUACAGAGAAGGUUAGCAUGGCCUCUGUGCAAGGAUGACACAAAUUCAUGAAAUGUUCCAUUUUAAA